AUGACGAACACAAAGGGGAAGAGGAGAGGGGCCUUCUAGAAAACAUGGAUGUCAAAAAGAAAGGAAACAUGGAGUUGUUCCUUUGACCACAUACAAGGGAAUCUAUAAGGUGAUACUGUAGACAUUAGACCUCAAGGGAAUGGGUACUGUUCAAAAAAGGAAUAACCCACAGAUGUUACCAUGGCAAAACCAGAGGCGUCUGCAGUGUUCCCCACCAUGCUGUCGGCAUAGCUGUAAACAAACAAGGGCAAGAUUCUGGCCAAGAGAAUUAAUGUGCGUAUUGAGCACAGUGAGCGCUCUAAGAGCCAAGACCGCUUCCUGGAACGCGUGCAGGAAAAUGACCAGAAAAAGAAGGAAGCCCAAGAGAAAGAUACCUAGGUUCAACUGAAGGGCCAGCCUGCCCCACCCAGAGGAGGGCACUGUGAGGACCAAGGGUACGGGCCUGAGCUACUGGAACCUCUUCCCUGUGAAUUCACGGCAUAA
rnacentral:lncRNA from 1 species